rnacentral:rRNA from 1 species
CCUACGGGCGGCUGCAGUGGGGAAUAUUGGACAAUGGGCGAAAGCCUGAUCCAGCCAUGCCGCGUGUGUGAAGAAGGCCUUCGGGUUGUAAAGCACUUUCAGUGGGGAAGAAAGCCUUGGGGCUAAUACCCUCGAGGAAGGACAUCACCCACAGAAGAAGCACCGGCUAACUCCGUGCCAGCAGCCGCGGUAAUACGGAGUGUGCGAGCGUUAAUCGGAAUUACUGGGCGUAAAGCGCGCGUAGGCGGUCUGAUAAGCCGGUUGUGAAAGCCCCGGGCUCAACCUGGGAACGGCAUCCGGAACUGUCAGGCUAGAGUGCAGGAGAGGAAGGUAGAAUUCCCGGUGUAGCGGUGAAAUGCGUAGAGAUCGGGAGGAAUACCAGUGGCGAAGGCGGCCUUCUGGACUGACACUGACGCUGAGGUGCGAAAGCGUGGGUAGCAAACAGGAUUAGAUACCCGAGUAGUC